rnacentral:rRNA from 1 species
UACGUAGGGGGCAAGCGUUGUCCGGAAUCAUUGGGCGUAAAGAGCGUGUAGGCGGCCAGAUAAGUCCGCUGUGAAAUCUCGAGGCUCAACUUCGAGCUGUCGGUGGAAACUGUCUGGCUAGAGUCCGGAAGAGGAGAAUGGAAUUCCUGGUGUAGCGGUGAAAUGCGCAGAUAUCAGGAGGAACACCAAUGGCGAAGGCAGCUCGCUGGGACGGUACUGACGCUGAGACGCGAAAGCGUGGGGAGCAAACAGG